UUGUUGCAGGAGAGGCAUUCAGAGGCGUGCUAGGUGGACACUCAGCUCUAUCCCACAAACUAACAUGAGAAAUGCUGGGAAAAGAGCAAACUUUGUUUUCCACAUGGCUGGAGAAGCAGUACCUGUGUGUCCCUGGCAGGGGUAGGGCAGCCCGGCAGGCAGUGCCGUGCCCCUGCAGCCCAGCCUCUGCGUGCCCUAAGUCCCGGGGGAAAAGGAGCAGACACAACCCUCUUCAGAGAAUCCCUGCCUCCUGCAGAUAAGCACAUCAUAGCAGAAGAUAAACAAAGCUGAACAGUAAAUGCAUAAAUAUAUAGUGUGGGCUGCUUGGAAGGUCGCUAACCCAGAGGAGAAGGGAUUACUUUAAUUUCCCUUUUACCUGGAAACAAAAAUAAACCGAGAAAACCAAAUAACCUCAGCAUCGCUUUAAAGGGCUGGAAAAAAAAACCUCUCUGAGAAGGGGGACAGCCGAGAGCGCCUCGCUGGCCGUGUGCUCUGUGCCUUCCCCCAUAAGCAGGACUUUGUGUGUCUCGCACCGAGGCCGGCCUGGAUGCAUGCAGAGCGCGGGAGAGGCGGGCCGAGGAGCGAGGGGACGUGAAGUUUGCUGUGCUGUCCAGAAGAUGAAAACACUAGUGCUGUUUAUAGAGGGAAACCCAAUUCGUCAGCCCAAAUGAAUUCCUCUGCUAAUCCAUGCAGGCUUCAUGUUUUCCACCAGCCCCAGCCACUGUAAAGACUAUCUUUAGGAGGCACAGUGUGUUUGGAAAGGAGCAGCUGGAAAGAGGGGACGUUUAUGCCAGCUUGGAAGGCUUUCUGGUAUGGAAAAAGAGGAAUGCUCUCUUGGGUCUCCCCACAAAAUUAAAGCAUCUUCAUCCAGAGCAAAACGAUGCCAAGCACAACAAACAAAAGCGGCUUUCCCCAACUCUCCUGGGCAGCCUCACUGCAGGGUUCACAAUGGUUUCCAUAGAACUUGUUUUGCUAUCAAAACAAAUUCGAUCUAUCCAGGCACGAUGGCGCGCGCUGUUUGCUGAAGAAAAGAAAAUUCAUUUUCUCACUUCUCGGCCUGCCAGAGCAUUUUUGUCCAGGUGCCACGGACAGGGACUCCCCGGAUAACUGGUGCAUCUGCAGGCAGUGCGCAUCUCGAAAAGAAAAAAAAAAAACUCGAAGGUUUUGGUCCAUGCACACGGCGUGACGGAGCUCCCGUCGCUGCAGAGGCAGGGGCAGAGCCGGGCCCUGGCUGACUGCUCUCGCUCCUCGGCCUGGCUCAGCCCGAGCAGAGCGUGGCUGUGUGGCAACGCGUGCUUCCUGUAAUAAAGCAGCCAUCAACUGCGUGCAUCUCUCGUUGCAUCCACGGGAGGAAAUGAAUGUCUUGUUCUAUUGACCACAGUCUGUUGAAAUGCUUGUAACUAUUACAGUCUAGCCGUGAUGAAGGGUUAGAUUGCUCGCAUGGCCGGGGUACGCGGCCCCUCGAGAGCUGCGCUGGAAUGUCACAUGCAGGGAAGGCUCCCUCCAGCCCUCCCGCACGGACACUCACGCUCAGCAGUGGUUUCUGAAAAGCAGAGAUGAUUUUCUGCAUGACAGAAUAGGCUGGAGGAGCGCUAAAAGCUACAUCUACCCCAAGACCAUUAAGCAGAACCGCCUGAAUUUUGGAGAGAUGGUGUCCAGAGGAAUAUGUAUAUAGAGAUACACAUAUGGGAGGCAACAUCCAAGCUGCACCAGGCUCCCUGCUGGUUGCUUUUCCCAACGCAGCCUCUAGGACUUGAGGCUCCAGCCUUUCUUCCAGCAGCCCCACACUUUGCCACUUGGCCUUGGAGAAGUAAAGUGAGAAAUUGCAAGGGGGCUGCACAGGCUGGGCAGGGCACCUGCUGCCCUAAGGUAGCACAGGUAAGAGGAGAAAAGGACAAAGGUCUCCUUCAAACAAAGCACGUGACAGAUCUCCACAUCUGCAGUACGGCCAGAAAUGUGUCACAGACACACUGAAGUUGUCACUAAGGUACCCAGUACGGCUGGCACCAGGUGUGCAGCUGCUAUGCGCAGAGCUCCUUGCACACAGCACAGGCAAGCUGAGCAGACAGGCAAAUGUUUGCCAUCACCUGCCUUAAGGUCCUCGCUGUUUCGGCUAUGCCGAUGAUGCUACUACAGUCACAUGUUUGACAGUAAUCCUCCUGUGGAGGUGGGACUGGCUGUUAUCUUUACAUGGCAGGAUGCACAGAGAGAUUAGACAUGCUAAGCCCUGAUCUUAUGUGCCCCGUGGAGCAGUGAAGACUGAGGAAAGAACAAACCAUGGGCUCAGAAAGAAGGCCAAAUAUCUUUUCUUUUUUUUUUUUCAGCAGUAGCAGAGAAGAAAAUAGUGAAGGGCCCUGCCAGCAAUGGCAGUUUGAAGAAGUAAAUAGAAACAGUAAUUGUGUUAUCUAUGAGAUGUUAUUCUUGGUCACUUCCAGGAGAGCUCAAACAAUGGGACACUGUACCCUCUGUGAGAGGGAACAGCUCCAGGAAUGAGGAACUGAGGGAGCAGGGCUCGUCCCAGGUCACACAAGAAGUUCAUGGCAGAGCUGAGAAUAGAAGCAAAGCCCAGAACUGCAGGGCUGUGCGUUAACCACGAAGGCAGAGGACGAGAGCUGAGAAGAGGAGGUCAGAACUACAGAGAGGGUCGAAAGCUGGACUGUCAGCAGAAAUAUGGAGAAAGAAGAACAACGAGGAGGGAGGAGGAAGAUGGGGGAAGGGAAGAGGAGAGAAGGGAAGCGAGAGACACCGAAACAGCCAUUGCCUUGGAGUCUGUACACCAGUGGCACUGCAGCACGCUCAUGCCAAGCCUAGCUGGGGAACCAUCAGCUCAGCAUCUAUCCACGAAAAAUCACAGCAAGGCCUUACAGCUCACUUUAUCUCGGAAUAGCUUUCUGGAUAAAAGGGAUUUGAGGGUAAAGCCUCCAUAAUCCUUUGGGUUUGGUUUCUUUUAAUACUAUAAAGCACAAAAAUAAACUUUCUAGUUAGGAAAAA